CGCAGAGAAUGCUGGGGAAGCUCAGCGCGCGCUCUCACUGAAUCGCCAGUUAACUCAUCAGCAAACAACAAACGAUAUGACGGAGUCAAGCCACUUCUGCAGCAGAGUUUGAGAGUUGCUUUCUCCUCUAAGUGUCUUUAGUGAGCGAGAGCUCUCUGCAUUCACCGCACACGCGUGUCCUUGAUCAACUGCAGAACCGGUGUAUGCCGAAGCUGAUCGUUUUCCGCAGGCUAGUAGACUCAGCAUGGACCAACUCAAUAACCUGAUAUUCCCCCACAGCUGAAUAUGGCCAAUUUUGCAGUAGGUGUGUAAUGAGGGAGAUCGCUUCAACACGCACCCAAUCAGAAACAGCUAAUCUGACCAUAUUGUUUGACAAGUGUGUUCCUUACUGCUCCCUGCCACAGGAGAUGUAAUCUGAAACAAUUAUGCCAAUUCCUCAGAACAGUAUGGUGCGGGGUGAGUUGGCAAUUUCCUGUGAGACGGAAGCACUGCAGUCGGGCGUCUCUGCCUGAUAACGUCUCUGACAUGAGCUGCUGUUAGCAUCAGCACGCGGAGCCGGACCAGCG